CCUACGGGUGGCAGCAGUGAGGAAUAUUGGUCAAUGGGCGUAAGCCUGAACCAGCCAAGUCGCGUGAGGGAUGAAGGUUCUAUGGAUCGUAAACCUCUUUUAUAAGGGAAUAAAGGUUGGGACGUGUCCUCUUUUGUAUGUACCUUAUGAAUAAGCAUCGGCUAACUCCGUGCCAGCAGCCGCGGUAAUACGGAGGAUGCGAGCGUUAUCCGGAUUUAUUGGGUUUAAAGGGUGCGUAGGCGGUUUUUUAAGUCAGCGGUGAAAGUUUGUGGCUCAACCAUAAAAUUGCCGUUGAAACUGGAAGACUUGAGUUUGUUUGAGGUAGGCGGAAUGCGUGGUGUAGCGGUGAAAUGCAUAGAUAUCACGCAGAACUCCGAUUGCGAAGGCAGCUUACCAAGCCAUGACUGACGCUGAUGCACGAAAGCGUGGGGAUCAAACAGGAUUAGAUACCCUGGUAGUC
rnacentral:rRNA from 1 species